AAUGCCAUUUGCUGGGAAUCAGAAGUGUGAAGAUUACUGACUGGGAGGUCAGUUGCACAACUGCUGAUCUUGGGGACCAGGUUUCUUGAAGGACUCCCUGUUCCUGUCCCCUCCUGCCUCUUCCUUGGGAUCUAGCCAGUAAAAGUGAUUAGACUGCCAUUCACAACCUGGUAGCAGCACCAAUAGUGCUGCUUAGUGGACCUACAAACAGCAAGAAAGGGUAUUGCUGAUCACCGCAGAGGUUCCUGGGUCAUCCUGUGCUAUCUCCCAUUUCCCAACAAAAGGAGAGGCAGCAACAUGUGUGGUUGGUGAAUUUUGGUUGCUGGAGACAUGGGGACUCUGCUGAGAGCCUGCUCCCAAAAAAGAACCCAGAUUCAAAUCCCUGCUCAGGAGUGAAAUUCAGGUGGUGUCCUGGGCCCAGUGACAGUGUCGUGGUGAAGACAAAAGGAGGGGGACAAAUCAUGGCCCUUGAGAGCUGCUCCCUACGAAACGUGCAUCGUGGUGAAAGCUGUGGGAGUCCCAGAGCUGGCCUAGUUUACUCCUCCCUCUCAGGCAGCGCCAUGGCCUCAGAGGCACCAUCCGGAUUGUCUCUUCUGUGGGAUAGAGUGGAAAGAGCAG